GACGAACGCUGGCGGCGUGCUUAACACAUGCAAGUCGAACGGAAAGGCCCUGCUUUUGUGGGGUGCUCGAGUGGCGAACGGGUGAGUAACACGUGAGUAACCUGCCCUUGACUUUGGGAUAACUUCAGGAAACUGGGGCUAAUACCGGAUAGGAGCUCCUGCUGCAUGGUGGGGGUUGGAAAGUUUCGGCGGUUGGGGAUGGACUCGCGGCUUAUCAGCUUGUUGGUGGGGUAGUGGCUUACCAAGGCUUUGACGGGUAGCCGGCCUGGGAGGGUGACCGGCCACAUUGGGACUGAGAUACGGCCCAGACUCCUACGGUAGGCAGCAGUGGGGAAUAUUGCACAAUGGGCGGAAGCCUGAUGCAGCAACGCCGCGUGCGGGAUGACGGCCUUCGGGUUGUAAACCGCUUUCGCCUGUGACGAAGCGUGAGUGACGGUAAUGUGUAAAGAAGCACCGGCUAACUACGUG
rnacentral:rRNA from 1 species